CCUACGGGAGGCAGCAGUGGGGAAUUUUGGACAAUGGGCGAAAGCCUGAUCCAGCAAUGCCGCGUGAGUGAAGAAGGCCUUCGGGUUGUAAAGCUCUUUUGUCAGGGAAGAAACGGUGAGAGCUAAUAUCUCUUGCUAAUGACGGUACCUGAAGAAUAAGCACCGGCUAACUACGUGCCAGCAGCCGCGGUAAUACGUAGGGUGCAAGCGUUAAUCGGAAUUACUGGGCGUAAAGCGUGCGCAGGCGGUUUUGUAAGUCUGAUGUGAAAUCCCCGGGCUCAACCUGGGAAUUGCAUUGGAGACUGCAAGGCUAGAAUCUGGCAGAGGGGGGUAGAAUUCCACGUGUAGCAGUGAAAUGCGUAGAUAUGUGGAGGAACACCGAUGGCGAAGGCAGCCCCCUGGGUCAAGAUUGACGCUCAUGCACGAAAGCGUGGGGAGCAAACAGGAUUAGAUACCCUGGUAGUCCACGCCCUAAACGAUGUCUACUAGUUGUCGGGUCUUAAUUGACUUGGUAACGCAGCUAACGCGUGAAGUAGACCGCCUGGGGAGUACGGUCGCAAGNUUAAAACCUUAANAGUAGUAGUGNGNGAGAGAGCGACGACGACGACGACGGAGGGAGGAG
rnacentral:rRNA from 1 species